rnacentral:rRNA from 1 species
UACGUAGGGGGCAAGCGUUGUCCGGAAUCAUUGGGCGUAAAGCGCGUGUAGGCGGCCCGGUAAGUCCGCUGUAAAAGUCCAGGGCUCAACCCUGGAAAGCCGGUGGAUACUGUCGGGCUCGAGUCCGGAAGAGGCGAGUGGAAUUCCUGGUGUAGCGGUGAAAUGCGCAGAUAUCAGGAGGAACACCAAUGGCGAAGGCAGCUCGCUGGGACGUGACUGACGCUGAGACGCGAAAGCGUGGGGAGCAAACAGG